GUCGCCUUGCCAGAGUGGUUAAUGGGCUGGCCUGCUAAGCCAGUGUCUUCGGACGCGCAGGUUCGAAUCCUGUGGGCGACG